rnacentral:rRNA from 1 species
AGAGUUUGAUCCUGGCUCAGGACGAACGCUGGCGGCGUGCCUAACACAUGCAAGUCGAACGGGCCGCCUUGAAGCGAGACUUCGGUCAAGCGGAGAGGUUGCCUAGUGGCGGACGGGUGAGUAACGCGUGAGCAACCUGCCCUUCGGUGGGGGAUAACAGCUGGAAACGGCUGCUAAUACCGCAUGACGUACGUUAGGGGCAUCCUUGACGUACCAAAGGCGCAAGCCGCCGAAGGAUGGGCUCGCGUCCGAUUAGCUAGUUGGUGAGGUAACGGCUCACCAAGGCGACGAUCGGUAGCCGGACUGAGAGGUUGUACGGCCACAUUGGGACUGAGACACGGCCCAGACUCCUACGGGAGGCAGCAGUGGGGAAUAUUGGGCAAUGGGCGAAAGCCUGACCCAGCGACGCCGCGUGAAGGAAGAAGGCCUUCGGGUUGUAAACUUCUUUGACGAG